UUUGACGCACCCUGUAGUUCCAACUGAGCGUUUGAAUAGCACACGCAAAGAAGAAACUGUGGGAAUUUUACAA
rnacentral:pre_miRNA from 16 species